GACAGAGGAGCCAAGCGUUGUCCGGAUUGACUGGGCGUAAAGCGCACGCAGGCGGUCGCGCGCGUGGGGUGUGAAAUCUGGCCGCUUAACGGCCAGGCGCCAUCCCAUACGGCGCGACUGGAGUGAUGCAGAGGUCGGUGGAAUUGCCGGUGUAGUGGUGAAAUGCGUAGAGAUCGGCAGGAACACCCCAGGGGGGAAACCAGCCGACUGGGCAUCUACUGACGCUGAGGUGCGAGAGCGUGGGGAGCGAACCGG
rnacentral:rRNA from 1 species